GACGAACGCUGGCGGCGUGCUUAACACAUGCAAGUCGAACGGAAAGGCCCUGCUUUUGUGGGGUGCUCGAGUGGCGAACGGGUGAGUAACACGUGAGUAACCUGCCCUUGACUUUGGGAUAACUUCAGGAAACUGGGGCUAAUACCGGAUAGGAGCUCCUGCUGCAUGGUGGGGGUUGGAAAGUUUCGGCGGUUGGGGAUGGACUCGCGGCUUAUCAGCUUGUUGGUGGGGUAGUGGCUUACCAAGGCUUUGACGGGUAGCCGGCCUGAGAGGGUGACCGGCCACAUUGGGACUGAGAUACGGCCCAGACUCCUACGGGAGGCAGCAGUGGGGAAUAUUGCACAAUGGGCGGAAGCCUGAUGCAGCAACGCCGCGUGCGGGAUGACGGCCUUCGGGUUGUAAACCGCUUUCGCCUGUGACGAAGCGUGAGUGACGGUAAGGGGUAAAGAAGCACCGGCUAACAACGUGC
rnacentral:rRNA from 1 species